UGGUGAUGAUCAGUGUGCCAGAACAG
rnacentral:piRNA from 1 species